UUACAUACCUGGUGCCGGAACCUCCGUGAUCAGGAAGGCGGAGACCGCAGGAGGAGGCCCUUCCAUUGCACUUCGGAAGGUCUGAGAUCUGCCACUCUAGAAUACUUGUGUUUGUUCCGCUUUAUGCCAAA
rnacentral:snRNA from 13 species